rnacentral:rRNA from 1 species
GACGAACGCUGGCGGCGUGCCUAAUACAUGCAAGUCGAGCGGACUGAUUAAGAGCUUGCUCUUAUGACGUUAGCGGCGGACGGGUGAGUAACACGUGGGCAACCUGCCCUGUAGAUCGGGAUAACACCGAGAAAUCGGUGCUAAUACCGGGUAAUAUCUGAGAUCACAUGAUCUUAGGUUAAAAGAUGGCUCCGGCUAUCACUACAGGAUGGGCCCGCGGCGCAUUAGCUAGUUGGUAAGGUAAUGGCUUACCAAGGCGACGAUGCGUAGCCGACCUGAGAGGGUGAUCGGCCACACUGGGACUGAGACACGGCCCAGACUCCUACGGGAGGCAGCAGUAGGGAAUCUUCCGCAAUGGACGAAAGUCUGACGGAGCAACGCCGCGUGAGUGAUGAAGGGUUUCGGCUCGUAAAGCUCUGUUGUUAGGGAAGAAACAGUAACGAACGAACUAGGUCGGUACCUUGACGGUACCUAACCAGAAAGCCACGGCUAACUACGUG